GGGUAAGUCUUAUACGACCAGCUCCCUCCGAAUCCUCCAGGGUCGGAAGGCAGCAAAGGUAGGUGGUUGUAGCGGUGCGAUAUAAGUAGCUUACCCUUU
rnacentral:SRP_RNA from 1 species